UACAGAGGGUGCGAGCGUUGUCCGGAAUCACUGGGCGUAAAGGGUGCGUAGGUGGCUAGGUAAGUUCGGUGUGAAAGCUCGGAGCUCAACUCCGAAAAGGCAUUGAAUACUAUCUGGCUGGAGGGUCGGAGGGGAGACUGGAAUUCUCGGUGUAGCAGUGAAAUGCGUAGAUAUCGAGAGGAACACCAGUGGCGAAGGCGAGUCUCUGGACGACACCUGACACUGAGGCACGAAAGCCAGGGGAGCAAACAGG
rnacentral:rRNA from 1 species